UGUGUUCAGAUUGCAGGAUUGUGUCAUGACCUGGGUCAUGGCCCUUUCUCUCAUUUAUUUGAGACCUUCAUGAAGGAGGCAAAGCCAGAAUUAAAUUGGAAGUAGCAUGAAAAUGCAUCAAUCAAAAUGUUUGAACAACUGAUCAACAAAAAGAAUGGCAAAACAAUUAAGGAAAUCAUGGUUGGAUAUGGACUUGAUAAUCAAGACAUUGUGUUUAUCAAGGAGCUCAUCUUUGACCCAAAUCCACCU